AGUGAAUGUGGGUAACAGCGGGCGUGUCUCGUGUGUUUGUGUGUUUGUGUAGGCGUGUGGGUUUAGGAUAUAUAUGAGCAGGUGACGUGGUGUGUGUAGGCCCACUUGAGUCUCCGAAGUCACUCAGUCAUGCGCUGCUCUCUCCUGUUCCUCUUGGUGGUGGCGGUGCUGGCGGCGGCGCUGAUGGGGGCUGACGCUGAACCAGGCAAGGGACGCCGCAGACACAGAAACCGCUACCACUAUGUCUACGUACCCGUUCACGUGCCCGUACACCACCACUCCGUCAAGCACGUGCACCAUGGAUACGGCCACGGACAUUCCAAGGGAUACGGACACGGCGGAGGCUACGGACACUCUGAUGGAUACGGACAUGGACACGGACACGGACACAGUGGCGGAUACGGACACAGUGGAUAUGGUGGUUAUGGACAUUGAGUUUGCUGGGACAAGGUGAAGAGUGAACCAUGAAGGCCUUGUGUGUGUGUGUGUGUGUGUGUGUGUGUGUGUACAUUUAAGUAUCGAAGUAGUUGU